CUGUCACCAAUUAAACUGACUGCAUUCCUUUCCUCUUGGGGGCCCAAUGUGUAAUCCUCGUAAACAACAGCCUCCUUGGUAGGGUACACAGCCGGUUGCUUGCAAGGGUUGCUCUAAGGGGCCUUGGAGACAGCC